ensembl:snoRNA
GCCGUUCAGUGAUGAGACGCGGAAUGAGCGCUGGGCACAGCGCCCGAGCCACACAGUGCGGAAGCAUUCCAGCUGCCUUCCUUCUGAGAACGGC